UGUCAGGAGGCAGUUGGGGCUUGUGGUCAGUACCAAUAGCUGAGUGUUUUCCUCUGACUGACCUGUAAAAGACGACAACGCUGUACAGAUUAUGUUGUCUUUGGAAUGGCUGGAGUUUGUAAUAGACUGAAUUGACAAAGAGCUUAAACUAAGACGAGAAGAAAGAACGUCAUAUAGGUUUGGAACGACAAGAGAUGCUCUGGUCUCCAUCCGUGAACAAAUACUGCUGACCUUAACAAUAGAAGAAGAAAAAAUCAAUGUGAAGCAAUGGAAGAAUAUCUUUUGUGUUGUCCAAGCACAUAUGGAUUUGUCUGACUAUAUAAACGGACGUGCUUUGUGUCUUUGAUUAAACAGUCUUCCUCAACUCUGGACAUCCCCUUACUAGAAGUUCCCUACCCACACCAAAGUUGAUCAGUAUUUCGGAUGGCUCGACCCCUGAGACUAAAGAUUGAGAAAAGAUUUGUUUAACUGACUUUCUGACGUUUGUACAUUUAAUUGGUGGUUACUCCCGUGAAGUAGUGGUUAACUCACAAGCACCUCUGCUGUUGCCAGGAGCAUCAAUGUUGCUGAUAGCAAUGUAUUUCUCUGGCUGAAAGAAACUUAUCCUGAUGUCCGGGGAUGAGGAGAGAUUCAAAGUAAGCUGUGAGAAUAAAAGAAGCCAUACACGUUGGGAGCGAUAUGAGGGAGACUGUUCACCUACCGGCAUCUCUUGGAAACCAAAAGCAGAACUAGGGGUUAUUUGCUAAGAGGAAAUCUUCCUCUGUCACCGGCUGUCACUGAAGGAUUGCGGACAUUCCAUUGGCAAAGUAUUAAAGUGUCCUGAUCGAGCUACCCCGCAGAAGACGGGAGAGUCACAUACCAGAUCCUUUGGAUGAUGGUGAAAGAUUGGUAGUGAUGGAAGGAGAGGAGAAAGCGAGGGAUGGGGGGGCACUGCUGUGAGUGGUUCUUUGGCAGUGUCUUAGCUGGUUGUUGUGUGGAGUGAGAACGAUGCAAUCAGCAAGUAUACUGCCGCAGAAACUCGUCACCUUGGAAGGCCCAUCCAUCCGACCUCGCUCACGCAAUCACCCGCCAACACAUGCGCUCAGAGGCUGGAGAGAGACACAGAGAGAUGGAGAGAGGAGAAAACUCAAUCCGUUCAUAUUAUCAGCUCUCUAAAAACAGAGCUUCUCCUCUGCCUUCAUUCAUGCCACUUCAUCUAAUUGUGAGUGUCAGCCUUUGUGUUUUAUUCACCGCUUGUUGAAUAUUUAAAGGGAUAGUACACCCAAAAAUGAAAAACCAUGUUGUUCCAAAUCUGUAUGACUUACUUGCUCCCAUGGAGCACAAAAGUAAAUAAAAGGGAAAGGGUUUGUUACAGUCUCACUUUUAUUAUUAUUAUUAAAUGGAAAAAAGAAGAUACAAUGGAAGUGAAUGGUGACUGAGGCUAUAAUUCUGCCUAACAUUUCCUUUUGUGUUCCACUGAAUGAUGAUGGAACAGAUUAUGACAGAAUUUUGAGGGUGAACUAUUCCUUUAACAACUGACUGAUUUCAUUCAUUUAUAAGUGAAAGAUUGAGUUACACUUUCUGUUUUAUUUGUCAAGUUUUAGUUCUUGUAAUCAAUAGUUGUUUUUAUUCCUUCUGUUAUUCUGUUGAUCAGGGAUGAUGAAGUUACCUGUUAUUAUGAGAAUCAGCUGUCCAUAUUUUGCAGUUUCAGUAUUUCCAUGAAGUAGUGUGUCCUGUUUAUAUCUGGCCUAUACUUAGCUUACAGUCUUGUUGUGAUGCAUUCAUCCUGAACUCUGCUAAUGGAACAAAACAUAUAUUAUCAUCAUGACAAAAAAAAAAAAGAAAACAGAAAAACGUAAAGUAGGCUACUCUUUCCGAUUUGAGCAUGUGUACUGCAUAUAGAAUGUUAGAAGUAUUAAUUAUCUUUUUUAAAUGUGACUGUGUUUUAAUAAUAAUUCAACAUGUAUUAAUUUUGUCUAAAUAAUAACCAUAUUUAUUUUGAAAGGGUCAUUUUUUAUUUUUUAUUUAUCUAUUUGUGGCAUAUGUUUGGUAGUAUGUUUAAAGCAAUAUGUGUGUAUUGUGUGUAUUAAAGUCAAGUUUCAUUUUCAGAGCACUGCAUUAGUGUUGAGUUUCAAUUGUUGAUCAUCAAACAGCAAUAAAUGUUUUUAAAGCUUCAAAUUUUUCAUGCAUAAUUUUCCUUGCAGUUAUGCAGCAAAUUCCAAAGAGUCAGUUGUGUGAUUAAUGCCCCAGACAUAGUCAAAGUAUUCUGAAUUUGAUCUAACUUAUCUCUGAGUCUGGAUUGUAUUAUGUCAGUGGCUCAAGAGUUGCAUUUACAUGUAUUAUCUGUGAUAACAAGAUCAAAACUGAACUUGCCUUGUUAACCAGUCCUUCUGAUCCUCACUGGCACUUACAUAUCAGAAUGCAAAACACGUGUUUUUAUUUGGUCCCUGAUACCUUGCUCUAACUGGUAUAUGUACUCAAAUCUACUCUACGUCAGAUUACGCAACAACAAAUAAUACAAUAAUAUAUACCAGCCACUCUUCACAUUUCAACUACAGUGAUGCUGUCUGCCAAAGGCCUUGUCUUUAUGUUCACACAUUACAACUUUUAGGGUGUAUCUUUACACAUUUCUUGCACAAUUUAGGUUUCUGUUUAAUUACUUAUUAAAAGGUGAAAUU